rnacentral:rRNA from 1 species
GGGUAACCUGCCCAUCAGAAGGGGAUAACACUUGGAAACAGGUGCUAAUACCGUAUAACACUAUUUUCCGCAUGGAAGAAAGUUGAAAGGCGCUUUUGCGUCACUGAUGGAUGGACCCGCGGUGCAUUAGCUAGUUGGUGAGGUAACGGCUCACCAAGGCAACGAUGCAUAGCCGACCUGAGAGGGUGAUCGGCCACACUGGGACUGAGACACGGCCCAGACUCCUACGGGAGGCAGCAGUAGGGAAUCUUCGGCAAUGGACGAAAGUCUGACCGAGCAACGCCGCGUGAGUGAAGAAGGUUUUCGGAUCGUAAAACUCUGUUGUUAGAGAAGAACAAGGAUGAGAGUAGAACGUUCAUCCCUUGACGGUAUCUAACCAGAAAGCCACGGCUGACUACGUGCCAGCAGCCGCGGUAAUACGUAGGUGGCAAGCGUUGUCCGGAUUUAUUGGGCGUAAAGCGAGCGCAGGCGGUUUCUUAAGUCUGAUGUGAAAGCCCCCGGCUCAACCGGGGAGGGUCAUUGGAAACUGGGAGACUUGAGUGCAGAAGAGGAGAGUGGAAUUCCAUGU